rnacentral:lncRNA from 1 species
UCCCCCCCCCAAGUUGUCUUAUGGGCCAUUUUAGAGCCUGAAUAUAAUGUGGGUGAAUUAACUUCUGUAACCAAACUUGUUUAAUCUUUAUUAGUCCAAUUGGCCAAUCUUGGCAACGCAGUUGCUAAAUAAAGCACCGAAGGGUUCAAUCUUCUCCACUUCGCUAGUCUAAGGAUUAUAAUUUUUUUCUGAUAAGUUUUAAUUGAAUCAGACUAUAUCUUUUGCAAUAUUGAUUCUACCCUUAUCCAAACAUUAUUUAACUUCCAAAUCUUUCUUAGGAGUCCACUGCCCUAAUAGGAGGAUUGCAAUUUUCUUUUUAUUUAUUUCCAAACAGAGGUUUUCUUGUAAUUAGCAAGGAACGAAAAUAAAAUAUCAAAUCUGAUUCCGAGUUCUCUUCUAUAUAUCAUCGCAUAUAUGUUUAAAAAAUGAGUUGUACUUUCCAAAAUUAAUUCCACAUCAAGAGUACUUGUGUCAUAUAUCCUGGGCAAAUUCUUCAGUCACAGCAAUUAAAAGAAAGGGAGCUAUCAGACAUAGGUGUCUGCCGCUUCUUCUAAGAUGAAAUAUAGCUCUUUCAAGAACAUUCAAGAUGAUAUAAGAAGUUAUAUAUUUUUAAUAGUGCCCUUAUUGGGUUAAUAACAAGUUGGUAAUAAAUGUUCAACAGUCAGAUUGUUUUCAUCAAUGAUGUUUCCCAGAGAUUCUUGUGUCGGUUUCUCUACUACUCCACAGUUGAUUGUACGGUUUGAGUCCAUAGCUAAGAGAAGUGGCUUUUUUUCUUGUUCCCAAUGCUUAAUGAGACGUAACAAUGCUUCAUUCUCAAUAGGUAAUAAUUGGUCAAGGUAAGCAACAGAGACAUACGCUACUAGCACAUCGAUUUACAUACAUAGGUAUGGUCCUAUGAAAGUAUACUUUCGGCUAUUGGUCACUAGGUGUCGCCAGUUAGAUAUUAUAUACCGGUCCAAAACUCUAAAUACUUGUUUCGACAUGUGUCAACAAUAUUUAAUUCAUUGUUUCUAGAGUUUUAUUCCGCACCAUACUUUUUUGCUCGUAAAAAUGUCUAAUUUUGUGCCUACAAACUACGAUGUACGGACAUCAUUCAUUUUAUGUUGCCAAUUGAAGAAAAACGCUUCUCAAGCCCAUUAAAUGCUUGUGGAACCUUCCUAUGGACAUGCUCCAAGCAGAACGCAGUGCUUCAAGUGGUUUGAAAACUCGAAAGUGGUGAUUUUGACGUUAGAAAUGAAGAGCAGGCUGGCUACCGAAAAAGUUUGAAGACGCUGAAUUGCAAGCAUUGUUCGAUGAAGAUUAGGGCCAAACGUUAAUGGUAAUCGCUACCAGCAACAAUUGACCAAUUUAAACCAUAUUAUACGCUAAAAACGCCCAAAAUAUGAAGCAAGGCAACUCAAGUUAAUUUUCCUUGGUGACAACGCACCACCGUAUCGCUCUAUAACCACCUGCCAGUUUGUUGAAUCGUACAACUGGGAACCUGUUGCUCAUGCAGUUUACUUACUAGACCUGGCGCCUUCCGAUUAUCACUUGUUUGCAUCGAUGGGCUACGCCAAAAAAAAAAGGAUCGAUGGCUGGUUUGCUGCCAAUGACGAACUUCUUUUUUUUGGAAAGGCAUCUACAAGUUGCCUGAAAGAUGGGGAAAUUGUGUAGCUAUUGAAACUGCAUACUUUGAAAAUUAAAUUUGUAAUCCUGUCAGUUGUUUGUAUUGUCAGAGCCAAUCUCAUCUUUUUUACAUCCUUGAUCAUGACGAAGUGGAAAUCACUGGUCGGAUAAUAUGCUAAUACUUGUACGUCAAUCCAUGAGUGUUGUCCAUGAUGAAUACUUUAUCAUGGCUAAUGCUAUUAUAAUUGUUAUCGGAGAAUUAGGUGAUUUGUACUUCUUCCAUUCGAAUGAAUGUUAUGUUUGUUUAUUUUUCAUUUAUCUUAAUACACAUUAUAUUGGUGAUAGAUAUUAUAUCAGCUAAAAAGAAUUAGGCCAUUUAUUCUUCUUUAUCACUUUUCCUUUUUUUUUUCUUUGCCAUUUAUUCAUAAAAUUAUAAAAUUGGUGACAGGUAAAGCAUUAAAAUAAAUGUGGGACUUUAGGAUGAAUUUUCCCUCUAACUCUGAAAAAAAGGUGGAUAAAAUCUGGGAUGGAUACUUAAAUUGUUUGAAUUGAUCUAAUACGUGGAAGAAAAGGAUCUCGAGUUUAUAUCUAAAAUCAGGGAUGGAAAGCGAUUUACUGCACUAUUUCAAAUAUCCUCGGGUUGUAUAUUUUUUUAAUAAUCCCUCUAAAGACGGUGGGUAAAUCUUCAACACAGUUUGCAUGCGUUUGUGAGUUGCCCGGCACUCCAUAUUUUGAGAGUCUCUCCUUAAAAAUUCAAAGUGCGCCAACAAAAACAAGUUAUGGAGUUUGCCUUAUCAAACUGAAAAAGUAGGGCUGCAGAGAAGUUGGCAGUAGUAUAGCCUAUCCGAGUAAAAGAAAUCAUAGCUAUUCUGAUCGCAGCUGCAGCCCGAUAUUCUGCCUUCUCCGUUAGGACUCCCAAGGACCAUCAGUCUUCAUGAAACUAUGCUGGGGACAAAUUACACUACUACCACUCAUUGACAGAUAAAAACUUAUUGCGCCUUUUAAUGCUCAAUUAUGAGAAAUUUAAAAGCUAUUCCGGAUAUACAUAAUAAUUAUAAUUUUAUCCUUUUAUUUAAAUAUUAUGUAACUAUUGCUCAUUCUUUUUUAUGAAAUUUGUAUCUAUUUGUGACUUAGUUUUGUUUAUUUAUUUUCUGUCGAAUUUUAUAUAAGCAAAAUUUUGUUGAAAAUGGAUUGUUAACUAACAUGAUAUAUACCAAUUUUUCAGGAUGUUUGACUUUGUUUAGGGAAUUAAUUCUAAUUUAGAAUGUUUAAUUAUAUAUAUAUAUAUUUGUAUGUAACUUCUCCUAAUAAAUAAAGUCAUUAAAAAAAAGUAACGAAACGAAAAA